CCCGCGCCCGCUUGGACAGCUCCGCGGCGGCGGCUGCUCCGGCUGCCACCUCCGCGUCCUCCUCCCGAAGCGAGGGGCUCCCCCGCCUCGUCACGCCGCCGGCUCCAUGGGGUCGGACCGGAGCCUCUCCUCUCCGCCGCCCCCGGUGGUGCCCGGCGCUCCUCGGGGCGCUCCGCCGCUCCCGUCCGGCGACGCUCCGGGAGACGCCGAGGUCUCCUCUCGCCGUCCGGCUUAUCCCCGUCAGCGCUCGGCUCCUCGCGGCGGCGCGGGCAGCAGCCGGGUGACGGGGGUUAUUGGGGUUAUUGUCAUUAUCUCCCUCUUCCCCUGUGGUUCUGCGUCUCUCCACCACUUUCAGACCAGCCCAUUAUAACGCCGGCGAGAGGCGGAGCCAGGACGGAGAUCUGAAAGGGUGGUGGGUGGGGAAGCAAAGGUAGCAAAGGUGGGUAUGCCCUAAUAGCCGUAUCGGAGCCGCAAUUAGCCCAGAUGACAGCGAGGUCUGGUUGGAAAGUCUUAUUUAUUUAUUUAUUUAUUUAUUUAUUUUAUGAAACGCGAGUGUAUUUUCUCCUGCCGGCUGCCUCCUCCACGCCGGCCGCUCCGAGCGGAGCAGAUCUCCACGGGAUCCGGAGCUCCAGCCCCGCUCCAGGUGCAGCGUGCGGAGCGGCUCAUAGGUGGCAGAGCAGAACCUGCCGCGCCUCGAUCUGCGCUCUCGGCGCCGCGCAGAGCGGCUCGUUGCGAUGUAUGUGACAGCGCAACAACCUGUUGGAACACCGCGCCGCUCCGCAGCUGGGGAUCCCUCGUGGUUUGUGUGGGCCGACGGCCUCGGCCCCUCUCCCCUGCCGUCAUAACAAGGGUGCAGGGCGAGGUGGGAGCAGGUAGGCAGCGCUGCGUGACGGGAGAGGCUGCCACAGCUUUACCCUUGGCUUUGAGCGUGCUGCUGAUGCCUUCCGAUGGCUGUGCGCAGUGUUAGAGCUGUCGCUCUCCAAUAAAAUCUUUUAUUGUGUUUUUUUCUUUUUUUCUUUUUUAAAAAGCGACUUUGCUUUAACUUUUUCCUAACGCUGCGACUAUAAGUCUUCCAUGAAACCCGGGACGAAGCGCUCUGUGACUUUAUCUGGCUGCUUUUCUUCCGAGACAAAAUAACCACGAUUGUCCAUUCGCUUUCAGCUCUGCGCUCGUCGUGGUCUUACGCCCCUUUCUGAGGGCAGAUGUUCAGUCCCCUCCAGCAGUGCUGGAUGGGACGCUUCAACGAUGAGAGGGAGACAGCAGUAACUCCACUGAAAACUUCAGUCCUACCCUGCUGUCCAUUCAAAGUCAAUUGCAAAACCCCUUUUUGACUCCAUACGGCAGUAAAGCUGGCGUCUGCAGAACAGUACCAAAACAAAAACAUCAGCAGAAAUCCAGAGUGGUGCUUCUAUUCUAUUUCUCUUAUGGACACUUUGAAUGUCGUGUCCUGGAGUAAGAGUUGGAUUGCUCCAUGUUUUCCAAAAGCAGUCUUUCUGAAUCAGCCCUUAUUUUAGGAUGGAUGCUCCAAAAUGCAGCGUCACUCUGGCUGGGACUAUGCCGUGCCCCAGCUGCCAAGGCGUGCCGGAGAGGAACUUAAAAGAAGGCAGAUUUGAAAGACCCUCAGAAGAAACAAACAGCCCUACUUUCGUUCCCCAUCUCUUUUGAAUAGAAGAAACAUUCCCACACACACCUGCACAACAUUUCAAAGCUUUGCCAUUUUUUUUUUCCCAGCCUCAUAUUGAGUCUUAAAUACUAAACAGUAAGAGGUCCCCCUGUCCUUUUUGGUCAUACUCUUUCUAACUUUAAUAAUGGGUUUGAUGCCUUCCUGUUCCCACUAAAGCUGUAGCAGUUGAGAAAAAUGGGCAAUUGAGGAACAAAAAUAAGAGGAGGGAGACCUCUCUUGGCUUCUUGUUGUUCUCCCCGCGCAAUGUAAACUGAGAUCUUUCAGUGAAGCACUGCGUUAGCUGUAGGUGCCAAUGUUUGUGUUUAAGGGUAUGGGAAAAAGCCAUCGUUCCUUCCAAAACUCGUGUUUUCUAAGAUGAUGCCAGUGGCGAGGGUAGGUUUUUCCUCUUCCUGCUUUUGUUAUAAAUGGCAGCAAAGUAGUGAUGAUUUUCUAGCUUACCUUUGAUGUUUAUUUUAUUACCGUUCCACUAUUUGUGUGGAAAAUGUACACAUUGUCUCUUAUCUUUAUUCAAAGAACUUAAAAAGUCAUUCAAAUGCUGUAGGUAAACACGUCAGACAUAACAGAAGCUUUUCACAGCCAUACUUCAAGACAAGGAGUGGAUGGCAAAGCUGGUUUUGCAGGAUUUAAGAGAGGACAGGAGCUUGUGCUCAAAAUAACACAAUUAGAGAUAGCUAUUAGUGGCUAUUAGUGGAGUGGGGGUACCUUCCUAAGAUCAACGUUGAUUCUUGUGUGGGCUCAAGGCCUCCGUGCUGCCUCUCAGCCAAUCCCUGUGUAAAUUGACCCAGGAAUCCAAUGUGGCUCCUACCUGGGAAAACACAUGAAGGUGCUUACGUGAGGGCUGAGCAUGGUUUAAAGAGAACCUUCCCAAGCCAAGCAGGAGUGAAGUCAAGACCGCUGCUAUUGCUGCCCAUGAAGGAAUGGGUGUAGUUUUAAGAAGAGGCAAAGUAGUACAACUGCUCCUGUCUCUCACCACUGAGAGUGUAUGUAACCUCAAGUCUUUUCCUGCUAUAGUUUUUUAAAAGGCACAGUAUCGCCUUCAGGUUUAUAAAGAUUAACACAAUCAUCGGAAAAACUGAUUCUGUUAAGUAAACUUCACAUCAAAAGCGCUUUGAUGUGCUGUGUUAUAGCAAAGCCAAACACUCCACCCCCAUCACCCCAAGAAAAACCUCCAAAAACCUUUUAGUGAAGCAAUGUGAAAAAAAAUCCAGAUUCUUUGUUCUAAAAUGGAAUGUCUCUUCCUCUUGAGAGCAGCAGAGCAGCACUUUUUUUUUUGAUGUAUGACCCCCUCUUUUCCUACCCAAAACAGUACCUAAUCAAAAACAAAGAAAAGAAACGUGAAUGGUGCGUCACAAAUCACACACACAGCUUUACUUCCCAUUUUCUUUAGUAUUUGACUCCUUUAUUUCAGAGUUUGCCAAUGAGUGUUUGAAGGAAAGGAAAUUUGCUCAACCUUUAAGUUCUGGAAUUAUCCCCCACUAAAUGUAGCAAAAUGCUACACCGUUGUGUGGUUUUGGGUAUGUUUUUGGUCUACCCCAUUGUGUUACUUUCGUGGUACUUUAAGCCAAGAUUUGACUGUACACUCCAGCGAAUAUUACGUAAAGGUGGGUUGCUCUAUGGACUUGAUUUUAUUAUUACUACUAUUUUUGAUCUUUCUUUUUCACUUGAUCCUUUCUUACUCUCUUUUCUGUCCCUUGUCCCUCCAGAUGGCUAACUAGAUUAGAGAGUACUUCCAGAUAAGAUCUUAUAAGCACAGUUGGUCAACAAAUACCUCUGUGUUGACUGGGCGAGUCUUAUAGCUAGUGGUAGGCAAGCUUAUUUGUACAUCUGAGAUGUCCGGCACAGCAGCUGGACAAAGUGCUUCAUCAUCUCUUUUCCUCCUCCUGUAGAAAGCUGCAGGAGUGCUGUGCCUUGCCAGGAAUGAUGAAAUUGGACAAUGCAAUACGCUACACGAACAACAAUAGACCAGUUCAAAGAGUUCUCUUUGGAUGGGCUGCUCACAGCAGGAGACUUGCCUAGCAUGCAUAAAUGAACUACAGAGUCUGUGGAGGUUGGCUAAUUACACUAUAUACAUUUUUAUAGUUGAAGGAAAUCCAGCUGGAGACUAAGCUGUAAGAAAGGAGGUCAGUGGAAAUUCAUUUAGACCUUGAGAGGAAGAGUUUGAUCACUGAGGUAGAAUGCAUGUCUGCGUGAAUCCCCUCAUUGUGAACUCUACGGAUUUGCACUUUUCCACAGGAACAAGCAUUCCCUUGGGGUAGGGAUUCCCAUGUGUCUUUGGCAAAUAUCGAGAGCUGAAUUUACAGUGGGGACUUCCAUUUUGACUUGUUUUUUUAUAACACAAUGUUUAGUUUCUUGGGAGUUGUUGCUUGAGAAGAAAUUUUCCCAUGCCCAAAGACUUAGAAUCAUUUCCUCCCUGUGCCCACUUCACGUCCCAUUCAAAAGUCCUCAUCUCAGCAAAUUUUUCCUUUGUACUGGAUUGUGACAGAAUGGGCAGGGACAGAUUUUUCCCCUGUGAAGAGGAUGACAUUAUUGCUGUUGUUACUAAUGCUUCGUACUACAAAAGUAAUUCCGUGUUCUCACACUGUCCUUCCCACACAGAUCUCAGAGCUCACCCAGUUUACAGCCAAGAGGAGUGAAGGGGAGAUGUCCUGCUGAAAUCUGUUUGGCAAGUCAGUAGCAACGCCGUCUGUAGAACUGAGCUCUUCAGAGUCUUCAUCCUGUGCUGUAUCCACUGAGGUAUCCCCUGCGAGGCCUAAUCAGAAGUGUUGUGCCAUUUAGCAACCGCUGCCGGAACUGGAAUCGUGCUGUCAUGAGUCUCAGAUAACUUACAGGCUUUCCUCGUGGAUGAUUACCUGGUUUCAUCUAACUGCAGCAAGAGAAAGAAAAUCCAAAUGCUGAAGGACUUACAGGCUUGUGGAUCUCUUUGAGAAGAUUAUAACAGCUAGAAAGAAACCGAUACAAGAUGAAAGCACAAGUAUUGAUAAGUCCGAAUGUAAUUAUCAGGACAGAACUGCUUGCUAAGAGACAGACUCCGCAAUUACAAGUUGUGUUGUGUUAUGUUUGUUACGAAGUUAUGAUUCAGAAGCUGUUUGGUGAAAUCCUGUGGCUCUUUGCCAGGAAUGGUGAAUGUUUCUCGUUACUGGUGCCAAACAAACUAAAAAAGAAACCAUCAUAGCUUCUUACUGCUGGUGCCAGACCAAAUACCUGUUGGCACCAAACUUGGUAUUGGUGCCAAAGGCUUGCUAUCACUGGCCUGUGAUAUGAGGAAACACUGGCUGAGUUGUCACAGUAGCCUUUUAUUGCCUCUACGUCCAUGCAUUGAGCAGAGUGAGCAACAUGGUAGGAGUACAAGAAAAUUAAUCGAAAGCUGAAGGGCUUUGAAUGUGUAAUGAAGUCACUGAACUUUGCUAGCCCUUUCUGGAAUCACCUAAGCCAGUUCAAAAACAUAUGUAUUUUACAUGGGUAAACAAGUGACUAGAGAUAGCGAAGGAUAUGUUUCCAUUCAAUUGAGUUACAGUACUAUUUAUAGCACUGUGGAUUAACAAAUGAGUCACCCUGCCAAUAAUAUUCCAGCUGAAUAACAAUAAGUAUUCCACAUUCUUAUUUCUGUUUUUUUUUUUUUUUUUUAAAUUUAUGUUCUUUGUUUUCAAAAAGCUUUUUUUUCUGUGUGGAAUCCAUUUGUUUAUAUAAGCAUUAACCAAAAAUGUGAAUAAAUAAUGGUGUAAAAAACUUGGAAUUUUGUUGUUGUGUUUUGUUGUUGUUGUUGUUUGUUUUCUCUUGUUUUGUUUGUCAGGAUCAAGUGAACUGCAUUAUUCAGGAGCAGGCUGCAGUGGCCUUCCUGAGGUUCCACAGAAAUAAAUAGGAGGCUUUACUUUCAGUGCAACCUAUGUAUGUGAAUUCUGCUUUCCAGAGAGUGAGUUCUCAGAACUGCUGCCUGAAAUUGUAAAUGCCUACACAUGUUGUCACAUCAAGGGCUUGUCAUCAUCUCAACUCAAAGCAGGUGUUUGCAACACAUGAAGCAAUCACCUGGGAUACGCUAGAGAGCUCUACAUGUAUUUGAGCCUGGAUACUGCUCACUCAUUAUCCUUGCUGAUGCAGAAGGUCUGUUUUGUAACAUCUUUCUAUGAAAAGCUAGAACAUCAGUGCUUGCUCCUGGAAAAGGGCCAGUGUGAGUCAUCUUGUGCAGUGUGGCAUGACUCUGAGGGUUCAAAGAAGGACUUGGCGAUUUCAGAGGCUCUAAAAAUAAGGUUAAUAAACAGGUGCUCUGCAGAGGGUCAUUGUAUAUCCCACAAGAUGGCAGCAGAAGGGCAGUCUUACAAAAUGGCAUCUAGCAUGGAAGUGUGGAUGAAGCAAAGAUGGGUAAUUGAAUUCCUCCACAUGGAAAACAUGGUACCCAUUGGCAUUUAUUGACACCUGCUAAACAUUUCCGGAGACCAACCAGUGGAUGUGAGCACAGUGAGAUGUUGCCGUGCCUUGCAUCUCUCCUCCCAGCAUUAUUUACUGCAGUGAGAACUUGCUGCUUGUGUAGAUGGAACAAAUGAUCGUGGGAUGGGGUCUGCCCCACAAGGAUGCCAGUCAGGGUCAGAUCUUUAUACUUCUGUGCAAGCCAACACAAGUAUUCCUACUGGGACCAUUUUGCCUGUAAGAGCCAAAGAUUUUAAGGCUAGAUAUGAAUCAUGUUUUCCCAUAUGCAUAGAACAAGCCAUGGAGCAGCGCAGUGCAAUUUCUGCAUCAAGCCCAGCGCGACUAUUUGAACCCCAGCACCUUUUCAGAAAGCCAGCUGCAACUUCAAGCUGCAAGUGACAGCAAGUCUACAGCAUCCAUGUAUAAACUUACCCUGGCAUUGGAUUCUGAUCUGAAUUUCUUUAUCCUCAGCUCCAGAAUGUAAGCUGUCCUCAUGCUUCUCUUUUUUCCACAGACUGUUAAACUAAGAAGAUGUUGGAUAAUGGAAAAUUUCUAACUUUUUUUUCCAUCAGUUUAAGCAUUGUCACCCCACCUCAAGUCCCUCCUCCCCCAAUAAUCCAGUUAUUAUAUGUAUAUCUAAUCCAUUAAUUCAUUUCAUUUAUAAGAAAAGAUAAAAACACGAAAAGAUUAAAAUGAAUUGAUGUUCUCUGCCACACCCAGCCCAACACAUGCUCAGUCCAAGUUCUGAUACUAAAUCUUACUUCUCCAUUCAUAGAGUCAUAUUAUAGAAUCAAAGAAACAGAGAGCUGUUAAGGUUGGAAAAGAACUCUGAGACCAUCAAGUCCAUCCAUCAAUUCAUCACCACCAUGCCCACUAAACCACGUCCCCAAAUGGAAUCAUAGAAUCAUAGAAUAAUAAUCAUUCUGGAUUACAACAGUUUUCACCUUAUUUUGCAGCUCUUACUGCCAGCUUGCUAUCAGAGAAUAUUGCCUCAUAACUGCAUUUGAGGUGACUUCCAGUUGUGCUACAUGAUCCGAUCCUUACUAUGUAAGCCACCAAUGCAGUCAUGUCUUGUGGGAUUACUGCAAGAUUCAUCCAUGCUUGUAAUGCUAAGAUAAGACAAAGGCCAUCAAAGCAGAAUAUGUUAUUAAUUAGUAAUUAGAUAACUACAAUGAAUUAAAAUGGGUUGGAAGAAGUCUUUCAUUCUGCAUUGAACCCUUCUUUCGAAAUAAAGGGUGGUUUCCUUACAGGGAAAACCAUAAGAAAAAAAUCAAUCAAAAUAAACAUAUGCUAAUUAUACUCCUGGGCCUGCUUACAUGUCAAAACUAUUUUGAAAAUAUUGCUUCAUUGUUGAGGGUUAGUGUAGUUUAACAGCCAGUGGCGGAACAUGUCCUAAGUAGGGAUUUUCCAUUGCAUACAGCAAUUACAGACAAUUGACAUUUGAUUAUAAUAACCAGCAAACUUUCAUGAAAUAAAUGACACCUGAGCAAGUUUCAUAACCUUUUGCCUCGCCCCACCUUGGAAUGCGUCAGAGCUGCUUGAAGGCUAGGAAUGUUUCUUUCACUUGCAAACAGAAUUAUUUCAAACCAAGGGAGUGCAGAGCUGUCUGGAGACGGGCUCUGAUAGCCAGCCUGUGUACUGUGUCCAGUGGCUUUUAGACCUAUUUACUUAUGUGCUGUUCAGAAUACAUGGCAAGGAACAAAAUGACACAGGGCCUGGACUGUCUUCCACGUCUGUGUAGGGAUUGUAUCCUUGCAUCCAAAAAUGGAUCUAUUUCCUGGGUCUAUUCAACAAUGUCUUGUACUUACACCAGUUCUCUACUUACGUCAGUGAAGGAAGAGGCAAGGUGGUGCUUCCAAGUCAGGCUCAUUUUGCACAGGGAUGCAGAUAUCAUUCCAUUGUUUUUAGUGCCUGCAUUUUGAGCAGCAGCAGACACUGCACAACCACUCAGCUCUCUAACUGUUGGAAAUUUGCUUGCUUAAUGACCAAGUCCAGCUAAAUUACCAAAACUGCACAAAAAGUGUGCCAAGACAGUUAGAUCUGCUGGUGUCUCUGGCUAUGAAUAGUAAUGGGUGAAGACAUGGCACAAAAAAGACACAGCAUUGCUUCCAGCAAGGUUGGUAUAACUGUAUUUCCAUAGAUAGAAAGUUUCCAUUGCAAUCUCAGUCACACACAGUUCCCUCAUGGAAGCAAAGUUGACUUUAUUUGAAGUACAGCAACAAAGAAAAAGACUGAGAAAACAGAUUUGUACUAUCUCGAUGCUAGCUGGAGAAUGAAGCACUGCUACCACACUAUAUGCUGAGAUUUGUUGCCUAGAUUAUUGCUUUUCAGCACCUCCAAAUCUGUUCUUCCCUGCCAUAUAGCCACUGGUCUUCACUAUCAUCUAUUCUCCCUCUGGAUCUAAGGAGGUCACCAUCCCUGGAGGUGUUCAAGAAUUGUUUGGAUAUGGCACUGAAGGACAUGAUUUACCAGACAUGAUGGUGGUGGGUUGAUGGUUGGACUAGAUGAUCUUAUUGGUCUUUUCCAACCUUAAUGAUUCGAUGAUUCAUACUAAAGAGUGUAUCUGGAGCUGAGAAACGUUAGUCUAUCUUGCUUCUCUUCCUUUCUGCUAGGAAGGAACAAACCCUUGCAGUUGCAGCAGUCAAUGUAACUGAUGUGAAUCAGGAUAACAGAGGCAGCAUGGAUAGUGUCUGGAAGAUAUUUCAGAUACUUAACGGCUGCACAGUGCUGAGAACACUUUUACAAUGUAAUAGGACAAUAUUUAUUAGGUGCCUGGCAAUCCCAUUGUUUUGUGCCCACUCUCAGUUUUUGCUAUUUUUUAAGAGACUGUGAAGUUUAUUCAUCUUACAUGUAAUGAAGAGCUUAACUGUUCUGACACCUGAACUUUUGAGAACUCUUAAGAACUCUUAAUUGCUCAGCUUAGAAAAAGUCUAGGCCCAGCACAGAACAGAUGUAUAGUAAUAAACUUAUCUCAUAAUGUCAAA
ensembl:lncRNA